rnacentral:rRNA from 1 species
ACUCCUACGGGAGGCAGCAGUGCUAUGUCAGAGAAUCUUCCGCAAUGGGCGAAAGCCUGACGGAGCAAUGCCGCGUGCGGGACGAAGGCCUUCGGGUCGUAAACCGCUGUCAUCGGGGACGAACAAAUGAUCGGUACCCGGGGAGGAAGCAACGGCUAACUACGUGCCAGCAGCCGCGGUAAU